UGCAUCAGUGAUGAUAAUUUGGCUCCCUCUACUGAAACAGAGUGAGGAGACUUGCCAAUGUUACCCAAUUUUUACUGAGAUGCA